rnacentral:rRNA from 1 species
AAAACUAGCCAGUCUUUUGGGUAUGAAACCCAUUAGGGCGAGAGUAGUACUAGGAUGGGUGACCUCCUGGGAAGUCCUCGUGAAAGGGUUUC